rnacentral:rRNA from 1 species
UACGUAGGGUGCAAGCGUUGUCCGGAAUUAUUGGGCGUAAAGGGCUCGUAGGCGGCCAACUAAGUCAGACGUGAAAUCCCUCGGCUUAACCGGGGAACUGCGUCUGAUACUGGAUGGCUUGAGUUUGGGAGAGGGAUGCGGAAUUCCAGGUGUAGCGGUGAAACGCGUAGAUAUCUGGAGGAACACCGGUGGCGAAGGCGGCAUCCUGAACCAACACUGACGCUGAUGAGCGAAAGCCAGGGGAGCAAACGGG